GCCUUGCACGGUCACUAUAAUUGGCAGUACCAGGCACUGAUCUAAUAGUAGAUCAGUGGUACCAGGAUGCUCCAAUCUCGUUCCCCGAGCCUGCGAUCCUCGGGAAGGAACGCGAAGCUCUGGGAUAAUCCGUUUCAGGGAGGAAUCUGAUUGGCCGUUGAAAUGGAAUGCGUAGUUCAAUCUUAGCCAGGAUUCAUGGCUUCCGGCAACGGAUUAUCCCAGAGCCUCGCGUUCCUUUCCGAGGAUCGCAGGCUCGGGGAACGAGAUUGCAGGAUGCUCGCGCUAUGACAGAAGAUGAACGGAGAUCACGUAGUGUCACAAAUUGAUUCCCAGGAGGGGCCGCGGAACUGGGGGCAGGUCCUCUCCCACUUUUUCGACAUGGAAAAUGCCUUUUCCAACGAUAUGCAAAUAUGGCUUCAGUUGGGUGAAAAUUGCCGAAGAAUGCAGGAAUGGAAAUCUAAAUUUUUC